rnacentral:tRNA from 1 species
AAUAGAGUGGUGUAUAGGCACGUAGGUUUUUGGCAUCUAAAGAGGCGGUUCGGUUGGCUCUCUAUUA